UUGUGAUUAUUUUUGGCUCCACAAAUGCCCCGACACCUGUUGGGCUGCUCGCAGGAAAGGGCAGUAGGUGUAAAGAUCUUCUUGCUUUAGGAAACUUAAGACUACUUCCUAUUUUGAUGUUGAUUCUAUCUUUAAUAGGGAAUUAGAUCCUUCUAGGAAAGGGAAAUAAAUUUCUCUCAAAGCUUAUUUAAGUCCACCUUAAGUGGGUUAUUAAAUCAACUUUGGAAAGCGAUUUAUUCUACCCUACAAGAGAGAGAUAGCUUAGAGGAUAUUUGUUCC
rnacentral:lncRNA from 1 species